rnacentral:rRNA from 1 species
AUUGAACGCUGGCGGCAUGCUUUACACAUGCAAGUCGAACGGUAACAGGCCGCAAGGUGCUGACGAGUGGCGCACGGGUGAGUAAUGCAUCGGAACGUGCCCAGUCGUGGGGGAUAACUACUCGAAAGAGUAGCUAAUACCGCAUACGAUCUAUGGAUGAGAGCGGGGGACCGUAAGGCCUCGCGCGAUUGGAGCGGCCGAUGUCAGAUUAGGUAGUUGGUGGGGUAAAGGUUCACCAAGCCAACGAUCUGUAGCUGGUCUGAGAGGACGACCAGCCACACUGGGACUGAGACACGGCCCAGACUCCUACGGGAGGCAGCAGUGGGGAAUUUUGGACAAUGGGCGCAAGCCUGAUCCAGCAAUGCCGCGUGCAGGAAGAAGGCCUUCGGGUUGUAAACUGCUUUUGUACGGAACGAAACGGCUCUGGUUAAUACCCGGGGCUAAUGACGGUACCGGAAGAAUAAGCACCGGCUAACUACGUG